rnacentral:rRNA from 1 species
UAAAGACAACGGCGGAGACGUGGAGUCCUCUGAGCUUAGUAACUUUUUUCUAGCUUCUGAAGGCGCCGCGGCCCCUGCCGUAAAACCCCCAACUUUUUUAGUGGUUGACCUCGGAUCAGGUAGGAUUACCCGCUGAACUUAAGCAUAUCAAUAAGCGGAGGAAAAGAAACCAACAGGGAUUGCCUUAGUAACGGCGAGUGAAGCGGCAACAGCUCAAAUUUGAAAGCUGGCCUUCGGGUCCGCGUUGUAAUUUGUAGAGGAUGCUUUUGGUGAGGUGCCUUACGAGUUCCCUGGAACGGGACGCCUUAGAGGGUGAGAGCCCCGUACGUUUGGUUACCGAGCCUCUGUAAAGCUCCUUCGACGAGUCGAGUAGUUUGGGAAUGCUGCUCUAAAUGGGAGGUAAAUUUCUUCUAAAGCUAAAUACCGGCCAGAGACCGAUAGCGCACAAGUAGAGUGAUCGAAAGAUGAAAAGCACUUUGAAAAGAGGGUUAAAUAGCACGUGAAAUUGUUGAAAGGGAAGCGUUUAUGACCAGACUUUUUCCUAGCGGAUCAUCCGGUGUUCUCACCGGUGCACUUCGCUAGGUUGAGGCCAGCAUCGGUUUUCGCAGGGGGAUAAAAGCAGUGGUAAUGUGGCUCCCUCCGGGGAGUGUUAUAGACCGCUGUAUAAUGCCCU